rfam:Beta vulgaris subsp. vulgaris 0053.scaffold00196.con0029.1, whole genome shotgun sequence.
AGAUUGUGGUGUGGGCAUUCUCGUUGUAGGUCCUUGAACCUAUUCCAUGCUUCCUUCAACGUCUCAUCAGGUUCUUGUUGGAAAGUAGCAAGUUUAUGUAUGAUUUC